UACGGGGGGGGCAAGCGUUGUUCGGAAUUACUGGGCGUAAAGGGCUCGUAGGUGGCCACUAAGUCAGACGUGAAAUCCCUCGGCUUAACCGGGGAACUGCGUCUGAUACUGGAUGGCUUGAGUUUGGGAGAGGGACGCGGAAUUCCAGGUGUAGCGGUGAAAUGCGUAGAUAUCUGGAGGAACACCGGUGGCGAAGGCGGCGUCCUGGACCAACACUGACACUGAUGAGCGAAAGCCAGGGGAGCAAACGGG
rnacentral:rRNA from 1 species